rnacentral:rRNA from 1 species
CCUACGGGUGGCAGCAGUGAGGAAUAUUGGUCAAUGGGCGCGAGCCUGAACCAGCCAAGUCGCGUGAAGGAUGACUGCCCUACGGGUUGUAAACUUCUUUUAUAAAGGAAUAAAGUGUGCCACGUGUACCUUUUUGUCUGUACUUUAUGAAUAAGGAUCGGCUAACUCCGUGCCAGCAGCCGCGGUAAUACGGAGGAUCCGAGCGUUAUCCGGAUUUAUUGGGUUUAAAGGGAGCGUAGGGGGGUUGUUAAGUCAGUUGUGAAAGUGUGCGGCUUAACCGUGAAAUUGCAAUUGAUACUGGAAGACUUGAGUACAGUUGAGGUAGGCGGAAUAAGUGAAGUAGCGGUGAAAUGCUUAGAUAUAACUAAGAACUCCGAUAGCGAAGGCAGCUUACUAGACUGCCACUGACACUGAAGCACGAGAGUGUGGGUAGCAAACAGGAUUAGAUACCCGGGUAGUC